rnacentral:snRNA from 1 species
AAUUCUCAGCCUUUUGGCUACGAUCAACUGAAGUGUCUGUUCUUACCAGUUUAAUAUCUGAUACAUCCUCUAUCUGAGGUCAAUGUAGUAAAACUGUACAAAUUUUCAAAGCAGGGAGAAGGAAUAGGAGCUUGCUCUGUCCACUCCGCACAUGGACCCGAUGUAGCAGUACCUCUAGGAACAGUGCACCAAAA